rnacentral:rRNA from 1 species
GCCAGACUCCUACGGGAGGCAGCAGUGGGGAAUAUUGCACAAUGGGGGGAACCCUGAUGCAGCGACGCCGCGUGAGCGAAGAAGUAUUUCGGUAUGUAAAGCUCUAUCAGCAGGGAAGAAAAUGACGGUACCUGACUAAGAAGCCCCGGCUAACUACGUGCCAGCAGCCGCGGUAAUACGUAGGGGGCAAGCGUUAUCCGGAUUUACUGGGUGUAAAGGGAGCGCAGGCGGCGCGGUAAGUCUGAUGUGAAAGCCCGGGGCUCAACCCCGGGACUGCAUUGGAAACUGUCGUGCUGGAGUGUCGGAGGGGCAAGUGGAAUUCCUAGUGUAGCGGUGAAAUGCGUAGAUAUUAGGAGGAACACCAGUGGCGAAGGCGGCUUGCUGGACGACAACUGACGCUGAGGCUCGAAAGCGUGGGGAGCAAACAGGAUUAGAUACCCGUGUAGG